rnacentral:rRNA from 1 species
AUGCAGAAGACCAACCAGCGAACAAAAUCAGAUUUACGACAGACUGACAGAGACAAGUUUCAUUUCCGACAAGGUACGCAAAUAACUUUGUUCCACGAUUCAGUUCGAACUACAGAGGAAACAGCUAUAACUAGACAAGUCGGGGUUUCAUCAAGCUUUUGGAAUCUGCAGGCGGCGACAAAGACCGACGACCGUCGGACGGCCCUAGCCGCCGAAGCCGUAGAGGGUGCGGCCCUGGCGCUUGAGCGCGUAGACGACGUCCAUGGCGGUGACGGUCUUGCGUCGGGCGUGCUCGGUGUAGGUGACGGCGUCGCGGAUGACGUUCUCGAGGAAGAUCUUCAGCACGCCGCGGGUCUCCUCGUAGAUGAGCCCCGAGAUGCGCUUCACGCCGCCGCGCCGCGCCAGCCGCCGGAUCGCCGGCUUGGUGAUGCCCUGGAUGUUGUCGCGCAGCACCUUCCUGUGGCGCUUGGCGCCGCCCUUCCCGAGCCCCUUGCCUCCCUUGCCGCGCCCGGACAUGGCUGA